CCUACGGGAGGCAGCAGUGAGGAAUAUUGGUCAAUGGACGAGAGUCUGAACCAGCCAAGUAGCGUGAAGGAUGACUGCCCUAUGGGUUGUAAACUUCUUUUAUAUGGGAAUAAAAUGUUCCACGUGUGGGAUUUUGUAUGUACCAUAUGAAUAAAGAUCGGCUAACUACGUGCCAGCAGCCGCGGUAAUACGGAGGAUCCGAGCGUUAUCCGGAUUUAUUGGGUUUAAAGGGAGCGUAGGUGGAUUGUUAAGUCAGUUGUGAAAGUUUGCGGCUCAACCGUGAAAGUGCAGUUGAAACUGGCAGUCUUGAGUACAGUAGAGGUGGGCGGAAUUCGUGGUGUAGCGGUGAAAUGCUUAGAUAUCACGAAGAACUCCGAUUGCGAAGGCAGUUCACUGGACUGCAACUGACGCUGAGGCUCGAAAGUGUGGGUAUCAAACAGGAUUAGAUACCCCUGUAGUC
rnacentral:rRNA from 1 species